AUUGAACGCUGGCGGCAUGCUUUACACAUGCAAGUCGAACGGUAACAGGGAGCUUGCUCCGCUGACGAGUGGCGAACGGGUGAGUAAUGCGUCGGAACGUGCCGAGUAGUGGGGGAUAACGCAUCGAAAGGUGUGCUAAUACCGCAUACGAACUGAGGUUGAAAGUGGGGGACCUUCGGGCCUCACGCUAUUCGAGCGGCCGACGUCUGAUUAGCUAGUUGGUGAGGUAAAGGCUCACCAAGGCGACGAUCAGUAGCGGGUAUGAGAGGAUGAUCCGCCAAAAUGGGACGGAGACACGUCCCAGACUCGUACCGGAGUCAGCAGUGUGGAAUUUUGGAAAAUGGGCGCAAGCCUGAUCCAGCCGUGCCGCGUGUCUGAAGAAGGCCUUCGGGUUGUAAAGGACUUUUGUCCGGGAGCAAAUGCUGGUGGCUAACAUCCACCGGAGCUGAGAGUACCGGAAGAAUAAGCACCGGCUAACUACGUGCAAGCAGCCGCAGUAACAC
rnacentral:rRNA from 1 species